CCAGACUCCUACGGGAGGCAGCAGUGGGGAAUAUUGCACAAUGGGGGAAACCCUGAUGCAGCGACGCCGCGUGAGUGAAGAAGUAUUUCGGUACGUAAAGCUCUAUCAGCAGGGAAGAAAAAAAGUCCUUUGGACUUUGGACGGUACCUGACCAAGAAGCCCCGGCUAACUACGUGCCAGCAGCCGCGGUAAUACGUAGGGGGCAAGCGUUAUCCGGAUUUACUGGGUGUAAAGGGAGCGUAGACGGCAGCGCAAGUCUGGAGUGAAAGGCCGGGGCCCAACCCCGGGACUGCAUUGGAAACUGUCGGACUAGAGUGUCGGAGAGGCAAGUGGAAUUCCUAGUGUAGCGGUGAAAUGCGUAGAUAUUAGGAGGAACACCAGUGGCGAAGGCGGCUUGCUGGACGAUGACUGACGUUGAGGCUCGAAAGCGUGGGGAGCAAACAGGAUUAGAUACCCUAGUA
rnacentral:rRNA from 1 species